GUACUGAGACUGGGACCAACCUGUUCAACCUCAGGCCCUCUAAUGUGGCGGGUAAAUUCCUGGGAAAAGCUGGACUGAACAUGCUCCUGCACAUGGUCUUCAAAGUUGCUAAAGCCUGGCCACCCUCAGUUGUACUCAUAGGCCACUGUGAGAGAACUUUUA